GAUGAACGCUGGCGGCGUGCCUAAUACAUGCAAGUCGAGCGAACAGAUGAGGAGCUUGCUCCUCUGACGUUAGCGGAGCACGGGUGAGUAACACGUGGAUAACCUCCCUAUAAGACUGGGAUAACUUCGGGAAACCGGCGCUAAUACCGGAUAAUAUAUUGAACCGCAUGGUUCAUUAGUGAAAGACGGUUUUUCUGUCACUUCUAGAUGGAUCCGCGCUGCAUUAGAUAGUUGGUAAGGUAACGGCUUACCACGGCAACGAUGCGUAGCCGACCGGAGAGAGGGAUCGGCGACACGGGAGCGGGGACGCGGACAAUGGUCCUACGGGAGGCAGCAGUAGCGUAUGGUACGCAGUAGGCGAAAGCCUGGCGGAGCAACGCGACGUGAGUUAUAGAGAUCUUCGGAGCGUAAAACUCUGUUAUGAGGGAAAAACAGAUUUGUAAGGAACUAUGGACGGCGUGACGGUAACUAAUCAGAAAGCAACGGCUAACUACGUG
rnacentral:rRNA from 1 species